UGCAGAUGAUGCUAGCAAAUAUUUGCUAUCUGAGCUUUCUUGAUGACUCCCAACCACCAAGAUCUCUGAUGCA
rnacentral:snoRNA from 1 species